ACAUUCCUGUUCAGAACAAAUACAUGCUGCCAAACCAAGGACCAAGAUGUCACAUUUCAUCCUGUGUGCUUCGGUGAAUGAACAUAUUCCACAAAACAGGCUGUUACUAAUGAAAUCUGUUUAACUCCUCUGAUAUCUUAUGACACAGUUCUUAGCUUUGUACAAUAAAAUCUGUGUUCCCUCUCGGUGUGUGGAAUAAACCAAUUCUCCAGUUAAGAAGGUUUCUGUUCUUAUUUGAUUUGUGACAUUUAAAUGAUCAAAGCUCAGGAGCAUUUGAGUAGUUGGAGGAAAAUAGGUGAUUAUCUCAAACCGUGUGCGUUUAUAAGUUAACUUGUACAGUUAUAGUAGAAGUGCCAGAAAUACACAUUUCAGUGCUUCACACCUGAACACAAACUUUCAGUCUCAGUUUCGCGAAGUUCAACUAAAAUACUCACAAGGCUAUUUAUGUGCUUUAGAUCCCAUCAGCUGUUAUAUUCUGCUUUUCAGACGUAUAUUGAUACAUAGGUAGAUAAUGAAGAGGAGGGUAUUCACUGUCAUUUUUUUGUUGUUUUAGUCCUAUGUGUUCUUUGAAUGUUGUAUAUUGUAUUUGGCAUUGUCAACUAUAAAAUGUUGAAGAUAGUAAAGUAAGCGAAAGUAAGUCCUCCCUUAUUCACUUGAGGUCGCCCACACCAGAUUAGCACACAGCACAUAUAAAACCUUAAAGAUCAUUUUUAAAAAUAUCUUUCCAGGGUGAUUUGUUUUGUCUUUGACUGCACACACAAAAGAGAAGUGUGACUGCCGCCAAAAACAUAUUUUUUCACUGGCACUGGUUUGUCUGUUAGAAAGAUAAUUAAAGUCAUGGAUUUAGUUGAGUGAAAUUUGAUGAUCAGAUCAGACAAUUUUCUGGGAAUUAUGUGAUUUACAUUUUGGAGAUGAUCUGGAAUAUAUUCUAGAACUGAGAUCCAGAUGAGUGUUGGGCACAGAGUAACAUUUAAAAAAAAGUGGAGAGAUAAUGUUGAUAAAAUUUGGUGAGCAGAUGGUUAAUGUCCUAGAAAAUGAGGGGUUUUAUUCUGAAUUUGAUCUGGAUUAUAUAAAAUAAGUUUUAAGCAAUAUGUGGCCUUGAUGGGGUGUGUGCUCUGAUUGCUUUCUAGUUUCAUAUGAAUUUGGUUUCUCAUUCUCACUGAUUUUAUUGAUUGUAUUGCUGGUUGAUUCCUUCAUUCUGUUGAUUUGAGGUUUUCAAAGGAUUUUUAUUAGGUGUUUCUCUUGAUCUCUUACUCCCUGCAAAAUCUAAACUUCUCACUGCAAACAUACAAAAUCUUACCAACUAUAUUUGUCUUUGUAGUCAGACUAUCUGCAUAAUCACUUAA